UCUUUUAAAAGGGAUUUAAAGUUUAAUUCAUCAAGGAUGCCUUGAAUUGAAAAGUGACAGUAAAGACAUUUAUAAUAUUAUAAAAUAUAAAAUAUUUAUCUUUCAAAUAAAUGCUGUGUCACGAAACGCACACAGACAGGUAGAUCCAAAUGCAGUGUUUAUUAAAGGGUAAUCCAAAAUCAUAAACAGUCCAGGCAGGGGUCAAAACCAAACAUAAACAGUCCAAAACACGAAACACGAACAUCCACUAGGGAACCAGGAAAAAGCAGGGUGACAUGCAACAAGGACUCCGUAACAAUGACAGAAACAACCAGGGUAUUUAAAGACAGGUGCAAACAAGGUAAGUGGUGACAGCUGAACACAAUGAACAGUGAUGAACAGAUAAGGCUAGUGGGAAAUGUAGUUCUGAAGGAGGUGACAACAAGGGGAAGUGAGACCUCUAGUGGCCACCCAGGGAGACACAGAACAGACCCGUGACACUACCCCCCCUCUAAGGAGCAUCUUCCAGAUGCUCCUCAGAACAAAAUAAACACAAAACAAAGAGACCAGGAAGGAGGUGGACUGGUGGAGGCAGAACAGGGGGAGGGAUGGCGGGCCAGGCCCGUGUAGGGGAACUGGGACCGGCAGCGAUGGCUCCCCUGGUAGCCCAGGUGGCUCGGUCAGAUCAGGGGGCCAUGGUGGACCCGAAAGUUCAGGGGACCACGAGGGACCAGGCAGUUCAGGUGGCCACGGUGGACCCGAAAGUUCAGGGGACCACGAGGGGCCAGGCAGUUCAGGUGGCCACGGUGGAUCAGUCCAUUCUCGUUGUGCAGACGGCCAGGGAGGAAUUCGCCAUUUGAGUGGCCCAAACGGAACCUGCCAAUCGGGGAGCCAGUAAGGAGCAGGCUGUGGCGAUGGCCAGGUCACGGCAUUGGGAACGGCAUCGGGAACGGCCUCAGCCAAGGGCACCGCCUCGGGAACGGCCUUGGACACGGGUAUCGCCUCCGGAACCAUCUCGGGCCCCGCAUCGGCCUCCGGAACAGCAUCGGGCACCGCCUCGGCAUCGGGCACCGCCUCGGCCAUUGCAUCGGGAACUGCCUCGACCACCGCCUCGGUCAUUGCAUCGGGAACCACCUCGGCCACCGCAUCGGGCACCACCUCGGCAUCGGGGACCGCCUCGGCAUCGGGGACCGCCUCGGCAUCGGGGACCGCCUCGGCAUCGGGCAUUGCAUCGGGAACCUUGGACACGUCCUCCUGGACGGUAGCGGCCUGCUCGGGAACGUCCUCCUGGAUGGCAGCGGCCUGCUCGGGAACGUCCCUCCUGGGACGGCAGCGGCCUGCUCGGGAACGUCCUCCUGGACGGCAGCGGCCUGCUCGGGAACGUCCUCCGGGCUUUGAGGAACAGCUGACGCCUGUCUCCUCCUCCUGCGGCCUCUAUGAUGACGUGCCGGUGGCUCCUUGACGGAAGACUCAGGCGUUGAGUCAACCAUCUUGUCUGCCAACACAGGUGUAGAUUCGACCAUCCUGUGCAGUGGUGCUGGGCUGGUGGUCAUCUCGUGCUGUGGUGCUGGGCUGGCGGCCAUCUUGUGCUGUGGCGCUGGGCUGGCGGCCAUCUUGUGCUGUGGUGCUGCACUGGUGGCCAUCUUGGCCAUUGGCGCUGGCUCAGCGGCCGUGAUGUGAACACUCCCGGGAAACUCUGGGAUCUGGCACAUCCUGGAAAAGUAACUUAAUACUGUCUCCGCGGCCAUCUUGUGCUGUGGCGCUGGGCUGGCGGCCAUCUUGUGCUGUGGCGCUGGGCUGGCGGCCAUCUUGUGCUGUGGCGCUGGGCUGGCGGCCAUCUUGUGCUGUGGCGCUGGGCUGGUGGCCAUCUUGUGCUGUGGCGCUGGGCUGGCGGCCAUCUUGUGCUGUGGCGCUGGAUCAGCCGAUGUAUCCCACCGAGCACGAUGGUGCAGGUAAUUAGUAAAACCCCAAAAGUCCAGGAUCUCCAGCCCCAUCAUCUCCCAUUGAGGCAAAGGAUCAUCUAGGCAAUUGUUGAAUAAGUCUUUCAGUGCUGCAUCAUUAUAACCUAGCCCGACUGCCAUGGUCCAAAACACUUGCGCCAGGCCACCCACCUCACUCCCCCUUUGACGAAGGGUGGUUAAGUUCCGGAAUCUCCCCCUCCGUUCCUCCAUGGUGGCUGGGGAACAGAUUCGAAAUCCCACACCGCUGGAUCUAGGCAUGACGGAGUCCUUCUGUCACGAAACGCACACAGACAGGUAGAUCCAAAUGCAGUGUUUAUUAAAGGGUAAUCCAAAAUCAUAAACAGUCCAGGCAGGGGUCAAAACCAAACAUAAACAGUCCAAAACACGAAACACGAACAUCCACUAGGGAACCAGGAAAACGCAGGGUGACAUGCAACAAGGACUCCGUAACAAUGACAGAAACAACCAGGGUAUUUAAAGACAGGUGCAAACAAGGUAAGUGGUGACAGCUGAACACAAUGAACAGUGAUGAACAGAUAAGGCUAGUGGGAAAUGUAGUUCUGAAGGAGGUGACAACAAGGGGAAGUGAGACCUCUAGUGGCCACCCAGGGAGACACAGAACAGACCCGUGACAUGCUGACCUUCUGAACUUUCUAUUUCUAACUAUUUUCAACAGUGAUAAUAAAAAAUAUUUCUUAAGCAGCAAAUCUCCAAAUCAAAAUAUGCUUCUAGAAUGAUUUCUGAAGGAUCAUGUGACACUGAAGACUGGAAAAAUGAUGCUGAAAUUUUAGAUUUAUGUAAAAAAAAAAAAAAAGUUAUUUUAAAUUGUAAAAAUAGUUAACAAUAUUACUGUUUUUACUGUAUUUUUUAAUCAAAUAAAUGCUGCCUUGGUGAGAAUAAGAGACAGCUUCCUUCACAAACAUUAAAAAUUGUGCCAAUUUUAAACUUUUUAAUGGUAGUGUACAGUAAGAGCUUACAGCAAUAAAAUAAAUGUGGGUGGUUUAGUCCUGAUCAUUCAGUUUUGGGAGAAUUUGGGUAAUGUUUGAAUUUGUAUUGUGGUCUUUGACUUUUGCUGGCAGAUUUUGCUAUCUUGGCAAAUCUGAGCUCAAUUUGAGACAUUAUUGAGGUCUCUUCGGAAACUCUAGAGGAGACGCAUGUGAGAUUACUGGCUUCUUUUUCUCAGAAGAAACAUCUGAGAAGCAGGAGACCUCAGUGGUCUAAUAUUGUGGUUUAGCAAAUGAGAUUUUAAGGAGAUUUACUUUGAAUUUUUUUUUUUUUUUUUCAUUGCUACAGUAUCCUGUGUGUUAGCACUGGAUCACAAAUAACUGAAGAUAUUUAGAGGGAAAACUGAAGAUGAGGUGAAAUAAAAACAAAGUAUGUCAGAACCGAGGGCGUUGAAUAGUUUAUCUUCACAGUAGCAUUGACAGUGAAUGCUGAGGUUUAGAUCUAACAGCUUUUAUAAGCUGAAGUAGUGCAAACAAACCAUUAGAUGACUACAACAGAAAUACACGGAC
ensembl:lncRNA